rnacentral:sRNA from 1 species
AUAUCUCUCCGUACGGGAAGGAUGAGAAGCUUCGACUAAGGUUCGAUUCGAGCGCAGCGAGAAAGCGUUGCCGCAGGCAACGACCCGAAGGGCGAAGCGCGCAGCGCUGAGUAAUCCUUCCCCCACCACCC